AACGCACAUUGCGCCCUGUGGUAUUCCGCAGGGCAUGCCUGUUCGAGCGUCAUUUAGACCACUCACGCGUAGCGUGGUAUUGGGGCACGCGGUUCCGCGGCCCUCAAAACCAGUGGCGGCGCCGGUAGGCCCUAAGCGUAGUAAAUCUCCUCGCUAUAGGGUCCUCUCGGUGGCUCGCCAGAACCCCCCAACUUCUGAAGGUUGACCUCGGAUCAGGUAGGGAUACCCGCUGAACUUAA
rnacentral:misc_RNA from 1 species